rnacentral:misc_RNA from 1 species
GUUUUUAUCGCAAAUUCCGAUCUCUCGUCCAAUAAAAAAUUCAAUCGAUACUGCGUGAUCGAAAAUGGAGUGAUUCGAUUAGUUUGAGUAUUUUCGACGAAGCAGUCGAACGUGGAUGGUUUUGAUACGUUUGACGACGUUGUCAAUUUUCGAAAUCUUCUCGAGAAGAAUAAUGUCGGAGAUAAUUGACACGAUGCUACGACGAUUGGGGAAAACGUCAUCGGUUUCAGAUAAACGAUAAAGUUCGAUUUGUAAGCGACGCAGAGGCAAAGAAAUUUGGCGACAACGG